UUGAAAGCGCACGACUUAUGAGGCAACGCUGCCGCCUGACUUGUAGUGCAGAUAAUUAUGCAGGAAGGAGAUCUGAUGAGGACCAUAUUGUCAGUUUGAAACCUAACAGCAUGACGUCAGGCCUAUUUUCUGUCUACCAGCGUUUCAUCCCGUUGAGUUUUAGCUGCGGUGCCAGUAAUGGCCGUCGGGACUUACGAGGUUGGAUGGUUUCGCUUUUCUGGCCCUUGAAUGUCGCACCGAGGCCUUUGUCUUUGCUGGUGAUUUAAACCCUUGCUCAUACGCCGUGGCCGCUUUUACUGUUGGGUUUCCUCCGCCGGGCUGUUCUACGUUAAAAAGCCGUUUACGCAGCUGCGGCACAGACAGGGCCUCGGUUACGCGACGGGUCACUCCGACAUCUGUGUUCAGUCUAAAUGCAGCCAUCGUGUCCACUUAAAAUUAAGAGAUGACUUGUCACAGGCAGUCAUUGUUUCCACUGCUAUUCUUUUUAACUACAGUAUGACAGAAUUGGAGAUUUACAAGGAACAUCAAUACUCCUAACUGAACGCACAUGCGGGAUUCACAAAGAGAAUCGCCGCUCUGCGGGUCUGCAUCCUGGAUAAGUGGACAGGCAUUGGUUGUGCUUGGUUUGGGGAAACUUGCUCGUAAGGUCAAUCCGUGCCUCUGUCCCGUUGACAAGACUCCAGGACGCCUCUGCUUCUGCUCAAGAAGUAAGUAUAGAUUCAUCCGUCCUCAUGCAGUCUUCCACCAAACAUUCCCACUGGCCAAACUAAUUUUUCGUUUCCUCUUCAUGACGGUACUGAAAGUUGUGCAAGCCGAUUUCUUCCACUCAAAAUAUUCUGCAACAGCCUUGAUGAUGUGAUGUUAAGCAUGCACUACAGUGACUCAGAAGGUAGGAGUUUGUGUACAACCCACAAGUCACUGCAUCUGUCUGCAGCAAUAUGGGUGCUGCUGCCGCCUGUCAUAGUGAAGAAAGAACUGAGCCAAAGAGCAAAGAUCUUGAUUUUCCAAUUUUCCAACCCCAUUUUCUAUGUCAUGAGAUAUGGCUCAAGAUCCUUCACACAAGCUGCUGAGAUGAGCAGAGUUUCAGGGCGCAGUAAGAGAAAUAGGGUGGUGAGUGUGGAUUGGGGCCACUGCUCCUCUAAAUCAGAAGGAGUUAGUUGAAGUGGUUCCAGCGUCUGAUCAGUCAACUUUGGGGCAAAAAAGCCAAAAAAAAACUUGUGAACUUCUCUGGUAAGCACUUCCUUUUAACUGCGGACACAGUUGCAUAAUUAUAGUUGUGCAGAAUAAGGAAAAUGCUGAUAACAUGAUGAUUACAUAACUUCUUUUAAGCAUUGAACCGUUAUUCUCUACUACAGCUGAAAAAGUAAAACCUUUGUUC